rnacentral:misc_RNA from 1 species
UAUCCGUAGGUGAACCUGCGGAGGGAUCAUUACAGAGUUCAUGCCCUUCCGGGUAGAUCUCCCACCCUGUGUUAUCGUCACCUUGGUUGCUUUGGCGGGCCGCCCAGGCCUUGGUCCGGCUACCGACUCCGGAUGGUACGCGCCCGCCAGAGGACCCUAAACUCUUGAAUAUCAGUGUCGUCUGAGUACUAUGUAAUAGUUAAAACUUUCAACAACGGAUCUCUUGGUUCUG